rnacentral:lncRNA from 10 species
CACUGGGAGGAGACCUAAGUGGGCACCUGAAUCUCCAAGGGAGAAAAAAGAGGCAUUUAACCACGAUCCUGGGACUUUAUCAGCUUGCCGCUUUCCCAUGAUUCUUCCCUUAGUGUGGGCUUUCUGCAUCUGCAGUGCUCUCCUUACCCUUUGGAAUUAAACAUGUGCAGUGUGUUUAGGGAAUUAUACACACGCCCACCUGAGGCUUUCUUCCUUUUUCAGGUGGAGCGUGCCUGGAAGAUCAUACUUCGCCAUUUUUGUCUCUUAACAUGCAUGCCCAGGAAGUUGCUUCUCCCUGGGGCCUGCAUUCAAGUAACACGUUUAAUGUUAACAGGUGUGGAUCUUCAGGAGGUUGCCUCUCCCUGGCUGCAGAAUUAUCAUUUUUAGAGAAGCAGUGUGAUAAUCGUGGAACCAUCCCCUACAUUCCUUCACCCAGGAAGGAAGCAAUAUGAGCUGUGUGCACUGUACACUAUAGCAAUGGAGAAUCUGAUUUGACAAGCCAAAGAUCCUACAUUGGUUGCACACAUCAUGGAUAGCCUACGAACUUCCCUUUAAAGAAAGCUACGUAGAAGCAGGAUGAGUAAAAAUUUACAAACUGAAACAGGAACAUUUUCAAGGUGGAGCACAGUGGCGUGAUCUCAGCACACUGGAACCUCCGCCUCCCAGGUUCAAGCAAUUCUCCUGCGUCAUCCUCUCGAGUAGCUGGGACUACAGAUGUGCACCACCACACCUGGCUAAUUUUUUUGUAUUUCUAGUAGAGACAGGGUUUCACCAUGUUGGCCAGGCUGGUCUCAAACUCCUGACCUCGUGAUCCACCUGCCUCUGUCUCCUAAAGUGCUGGGAUUACAGGCAUGAGCCACCAUGCCUCGCCAAUUGAGAGCUAAUGGUUUUAAAGUGUGGCACUUCCCCAUGCACUCUCUCUCUCCUGCUGCCUUAUGAAAAACGUGUUUGUUUCCCCUUUACCUUCUACCAUGAUUGUUAAGUUUCCUGAGGCCUCCCCAGCCAUGUGAACCGAGUCAAUUAAACCUCUUUCCUUUACAAACUACCCAGUCUCAGGUAGUAUCUUUAUAGCAGUGUGAAAACAAACUAAUACACCAAAUAAGACUGAAGAAACUUAUGCUCAUCUCCAAACACUAUCUGCCAUGCUAUAAGCCAUUAGAACUCAUCUGUUUUACAAUCAGGUUUAAAGAAAGUAAGCUCAUGUCAAGGGCAGGGAUGAUUUCCAACAGAAUUGUGUUGCCCUCUCAUUAAUUCAAUGGCUAUAUUAAUUUUGAAAAUAAUGUAAUUAGCAAAUAGUGGCAGAAACAAUACACAUUUUCCCUCUCCUUUAUUUAAAAUGCAUGAUCAUGAUCUGUCAUUUAAUGAAUUCUAAAGAUAACAAAAUAUUAAAUUAUCUUCACCCUGCAAUAGAGGAUCAUGAAGCACAAAAAUGUAGAAAAGUAUGUUUUCCUGAGCUGAUGAUCUCCCAGUAGCAUGAG